rnacentral:rRNA from 1 species
GACGAACGCUGGCGGCGUGCUUAACACAUGCAAGUCGAACGGAAAGGCCCUGCUUGCAGGGUACUCGAGUGGCGAACGGGUGAGUAACACGUGGGUGAUCUGCCCUGCACUUCGGGAUAAGCCUGGGAAACUGGGUCUCAUACCGGAUAGGAGCCAUUUUUAGUGUGAUGGUUGGAAAGUUUUUUCGGUGUAGGAUGAGCUCGCGGCCUAUCAGCUUGUUGGUGGGGUAAUGGCCUACCAAGGCGGCGACGGGUAGCCGGCCUGAGAGGGUGGACGGCCACACUGGGACUGGGAUACGGCCCAGACUCCUACGGGAGGCAGCAGUGGGGAAUAUUGCACUAUGGGCGCAAGCCUGAUGCAGCGACGCCGCGUGGGGGAUGACGGCCUUCGGGUUGUAAACUCCUUUCGCUAGGGACGAAGCGUUUUGUGACGGUACCUAGAUAAGAAGCACCGGCUAACUACGUG